GCAAAGGGCUUUGAAUCCAUUUGUAAUGCUGCAUCCAGGACAGGUAACAUCACCUGCAAAGCUCCCAUGUGGGACUGAAGCAACCUGGUAUGGAAAUCAAAAACACCUGUGCUGGAUGAAGCUUGGCCUGUGCCUGGAACAUGUUGGAAAGCACAUGUAGGAAGUGACCACAGCAGAGUGUGAGCAGCAGACAUUUAUAGGACAACCUUUCAUAAUCACCAGGCAUAUUCAUGGUAAUAAACAGCCCAUUGACCAAA